ACAUGGAGCGAAUCUCAAAAGAUAGUCUCAGUUCGGACUGUGGGCUGCAACCCGCCCACACGAAGUCGGAGUUGCUAGUAAUCCCGAAUCAGCAUGUCGGGGUGAAUGCGUUCCCGGGUCUUGUACACACCGCCCGUCACGCCAUGGGAGUCGGAAGUGCCCAAAGUCGGUGACCUAACCGCAAGGGAAGGAGCCGCCUAAGGUAAUGCCGAUGACUGGGGUGAAGUCGUAACAAGGUAUC
rnacentral:rRNA from 1 species